AAAUGAAGUUACACUAGCAUUUUUUUUUUUUUUACAAGUAUUUUUCACCAAAAGUACUGAUUUACAAAAAGAAAAAUCUGAUUUAUGUCAGCAUAUACUCUUAUUUUCCUUCCUGUUUACACACUUGGAGAAUAGUUGUCCAUGGAGGCUUUGAUGGGUUUAGCCGCAAGAUGAUGAUCUUGAAAGCCAACAACAACAACAGGGCCUCAACAGUACUUUAAGCUGUGCGUGAUCAUGUUCUGCUUCAACGUGUCCGCAAUGACCAUGGAGGGGAAAAUUAAGUUGUGGAAAGAUACAUGUUUGAGCAACCAGAUUGGGGACCUGGAAUCAAGAAAGAGGAAGAAACAUUUUCUGUCUGUGCAAGUGUUUUAAAAUAAUCCUUGUGUAACCAUGGGAAAUUCAUCAGUUUAACAACUAGAGAGACUCUACACAACACGUGAUGUCAGUCAGAAAGGUUCCUCUGUUUCUGCUCAUGAUUCAUGGUUCAGAAGCCACUCCAUCCCCGGCGGCAAGCACAAUCGAUAGACCCGUCCAUACGACCAUCAAAACCGACUCUGAUUCGCCUUCUCUCUCCUUCACUCCCCCGGACAUGCCAGACUCUCGUGCCAGUGUCAGGCACCUCCAGACACUUAGUCUGGGUGUGACCCAACAACUGACUAUUCUUAUGUGAAUUCCUGGUGUUCAAUGUAUCAGUUGAGCCAUUUUAGAUUUUAUUCUUUGGGUAUAACUGCCAUGCGCCCUAGCCAGCUCCCUAGCCAGAGACACCGCGUUUAACCCAACAGAGAUGAUUGACCCAGAACACCGGCAGAGGUGGCGAAAGGAGGAGGCAGGCAAAAAAAACAUAAUCGACAGUGCCUGUGUCAACCGGAUGUGCCAGUCAGGCCCGCCGACAGAAACAGAGUGGCCGCCAAACCGCUUUUGUUGAAGCGUGAUUUCUCAUUUUAUAUUCAUCCAAUUGUAAAUGCAUCUAUUGUAUAUACCCUGAGGACUGGGGCAUCAGCUCACCAGCCAGAUUUAAUCAAUAUUUAAGGAUAGAAGCAGUGGGCUAAAAACUGUAUUAAAUCUGAAUAACUGGUUUUGUGUUUCUGAUGCGUGUUUUUCUUGAAUAAUAUGUUCCUUUAAUAGAUGUAGCCAUUGUGUAAUUGAUAUUUGGCAUUUCUUUUUCCAAUUAAGUAAUAUUGUUUUUUUGGCGAUAGCUAGAGACAUGAGUAAAGGUAUUAAUUUGGGAGGUGUCACCUAGGAGGCAUAAUGAAGGGAAUUUUGGAAUUUUGGUUUUGAAAAUUCUGUUAAUUUGUUAGCAACAUCUGUCCAGAACUGAUAAACGGGAGGGCAUAACCAAAGUGCAUGAAAGUAAGAGUCUUGUAUGUUUAGGUUGCAGUAAGUACAUCUGUCCGAGGUUUCUAGGCCCAUUUUGAACAUCUUCUGUUGUGUAAUGUGUGUUCUAUUCACGAUCUUAUACUGGAUUAAUUGAAUAUUUGUGUUAGUACUAAAGAUAAAGCUAUUUUUACAAACUGUU